UCCACAGCAAUAUCACCCUGCAGCCCAAGACUGGUUGCCCACUGAAGCUAAGCAGGGUUGAGCCUGGUCAGUACCUGGAUGGAAGACAUCCUGGGAAAACUAGGUUGCUGUUGGAA
rnacentral:rRNA from 1 species